CCUACGGGAGGCAGCAGUGAGGAAUAUUGGUCAAUGGGCGGGAGCCUGAACCAGCCAAGCCGCGUGAGGGAAGAAGGUACAGCGUAUCGUAAACCUCUUUUGUCAGGGAACAAAGGCGGGGACUAGUCCCCGGAUGAGGGUACCUGAAGAAAAAGCAUCGGCUAACUCCGUGCCAGCAGCCGCGGUAAUACGGAGGAUGCGAGCGUUAUCCGGAUUUAUUGGGUUUAAAGGGGGCGCAGGCGGCCUGUUAAGUAAGCGGUAAAAGCCCGGGGCUCAACCCCGGCGAGCCGUUGAAACGGGCGGGCUUGAGUUGGAGAGAAGUACGCGGAAUGCGCGGUGUAGCGGUGAAAUGCUUAGAUAUCGCGCAGAACCCCGAUUGCGAAGGCAGCGUACCGGCUCCACACUGACGCUGAGGCACGAAAGCGUGGGUAUCGAACAGGAUUAGAUACCCGAGUAGUC
rnacentral:rRNA from 1 species